AUUGAACGCUGGCGGCAGGCUUAACACAUGCAAGUCGAGCGGGGAAGGGUAGCUUGCUACCUGACCUAGCGGCGGACGGGUGAGUAAUGCUUAGGAAUCUGCCUAUUAGUGGGGGACAACAUUCCGAAAGGAAUGCUAAUACCGCAUACGCCCUACGGGGGAAAGCAGGGGAUCUUCGGACCUUGCGCUAAUAGAUGAGCCUAAGUCAGAUUAGCUAGUUGGUGGGGUAAAGGCCUACCAAGGCGACGAUCUGUAGCGGGUCUGAGAGGAUGAUCCGCCACACUGGGAAUGAGACACGGCCCAGACUCCUACGGGAGGCAGCAGUGGGGAAUAUUGGACAAUGGGCGAAAGCCUGAUCCAGCCAUGCCGCGUGUGUGAAGAAGGCCUUUUGGUUGUAAAGUACUUUAAGCGAGGAGGAGGCUACUUGGAUUAAUACUCUAAGAUAGUGGACGUUACUCGCAGAAUAAGCACCGGCUAACUCUGUGCCAGCCGCCGCGGUAAGAC
rnacentral:rRNA from 1 species